GACGAACGCUGGCGGCGUGCUUAACACAUGCAAGUCGAACGGAAAGGCCCUGCUUUUGUGGGGUGCUCGAGUGGCGAACGGGUGAGUAACACGUGAGUAACCUGCCCUUGACUUUGGGAUAACUUCAGGAAACUGGGGCUAAUACCGGAUAGGAGCUCCUGCUGCAUGGUGGGGGUUGGAAAGUUUCGGCGGUUGGGGAUGGACUCGCGGCUUAUCAGCUUGUUGGUGGGGUAGUGGCUUACCAAGGCUUUGACGGGUAGCCGGCCUGAGAGGGUGACCGGCCACAUUGGGAAUGAGAUACGGCCCAGACUCCUACGGGAGGCAGCAGGGGGGAAUAUUGCACAAUGGGCGGAAGCCUGAUGCAGCAACGCCGCGUGCGGGAUGACGGCCUUCGGGUUGUAAACCGCUUUCGCCUGUGACGAAGCGUGAGUGACGGUAAUGGGUAAAGAAGCACCGGCUAACUACGUG
rnacentral:rRNA from 1 species